GGUUAAGCGACUAAGCGUACACGGUGGAUGCCCUGGCAGUCAGAGGCGAUGAAGGGCGUGCUAAUCUGCGAUAAGCGCCGGUAAGGUGAUAUGAACCGUUAUAACCGGCGAUACCCGAAUGGGGAAACCCAGUGUGACUCGUCACACUAUCAUUAACUGAAUCCAUAGGUUAAUGAGGCGAACCGGGGGAACUGAAACAUCUAAGUACCCCGAGGAAAAGAAAUCAACCGAGAUUCCCCCAGUAGCGGCGAGCGAACGGGGAGGAGCCCAGAGCCUGAAUCAGCAUGUGUGUUAGUGGAAGCGUCUGGAAAGGCGCGCGAUACAGGGUGACAGCCCCGUACACAAAAGCGCACAUGCUGUGAGCUCGAUGAGUAGGGCGGGACACGUGGUAUCCUGUCUGAAUAUGGGGGGACCAUCCUCCAAGGCUAAAUACUCCUGACUGACCGAUAGUGAACCAGUACCGUGAGGGAAAGGCGAAAAGAACCCCGGCGAGGGGAGUGAAAAAGAACCUGAAACCGUGUACGUACAAGCAGUGGGAGCACCCUUUGGGGUGUGACUGCGUACCUUUUGUAUAAUGGGUCAGCGACUUAUAUUCUGUAGCAAGGUUAACCGUAUAGGGGAGCCGGAGGGAAACCGAGUCUUAAC
rnacentral:rRNA from 1 species